UACGAAGGGGGCUAGCGUUACUCGGAAUUACUGGGCGUAAAGGGCGCGUAGGCGGCGCUCCAAGUUAGGCGUGAAAGUCCUGGGCUCAACCUGGGAACUGCGCUUGAUACUGGAGUGCUUGAGGAUGGAAGAGGGGUUGUGGAAUUCCCAGUGUAGAGGUGAAAUUCGUAGAUAUUGGGAAGAACACCGGUGGCGAAGGCGGCAACCUGGUCCGAUUACUGACGCUGAGGCGCGACAGCGUGGGGAGCAAACAGGAUUAGAAACC
rnacentral:rRNA from 1 species